CCUACGGGAGGCAGCAGUGAGGAAUAUUGGUCAAUGGACGAGAGUCUGAACCAGCCAAGUAGCGUGAAGGAUGACUGCCCUAUGGGUUGUAAACUUCUUUUAUAAAGGAAUAAAACGAGGCACGUGUGCCUUUCUGCAUGUACUUUAUGAAUAAGGAUCGGCUAACUCCGUGCCAGCAGCCGCGGUAAUACGGAGGAUCCGAGCGUUAUCCGGAUUUGUUGGGUUUAAAGGGAGCGUAGAUGGGUUGUUAAGUCAGUUGUGAAAGUUUGCGGCUUAACCGUAAAAUUGCAAUUGAUACUGGCAGUCUUGAGUACAGUUGAGGUAGGCGGAAUUCGUGGUGUAGCGGUGAAAUGCUUAGAUAUCACGAAGAACCCCGAUUGCGAAGGCAGCUUACUAAACUGUGACUGACAUUGAUGCUCGAAAGUGUGGGUAUCAAACAGGAUUAGAUACCCGAGUAGUC
rnacentral:rRNA from 1 species